rnacentral:rRNA from 1 species
GAUGAACGCUGGCGGCGUGCUUAACACAUGCAAGUCGAACGGUGAACGAGGGAGCUUGCUCCCUCCGGAUCAGUGGCGAACGGGUGAGUAACACGUGAGCAAUCUGCCCUGGACUCUGGGAUAAGCGUUGGAAACGACGUCUAAUACCGGAUACGAGGCGUGGGGGCAUCCCCAACGCCUGGAAAGAACUUCGGUCCAGGAUGAGCUCGCGGCCUAUCAGCUAGUUGGUGAGGUAACGGCUCACCAAGGCGACGACGGGUAGCCGGCCUGAGAGGGUGACCGGCCACACUGGGACUGAGACACGGCCCAGACUCCUACGGGAGGCAGCAGUGGGGAAUAUUGCGCAAUGGGCGCAAGCCUGAUGCAGCAACGCCGCGUGAGGGACGACGGCCUUCGGGUUGUAAACCUCUUUUAGCAGGGAAGAAGCGAAAGUGACGGUACCUGCAGAAAAAGCACCGGCUAACUACGUGCCAGCAGCCGCGGUAAGAC